rnacentral:rRNA from 1 species
AUUCUAAUAAGAGUUUGAUCCUGGCUCAGGAUGAACGCUGGCGGCGUGCCUAA